UUAUGCUAAACAGACAAUAAUUUUCUAACCUCCUAAUAGUAUUAAGCGAUUUUAAAACAUAACUGUUGCUUUUUUUCUCCCCUUAUUUCUAAAUUUAGAAAAAAUAAUCUCAUUCGAAAUGUCGUUUUCAUAUAUGUUAGCAAGCCAAUUAAAAUAUAGGCUUCUGGGUUUUGCCUGGAUUGUCGUGAUAAAGCUAAUUAUGAACCCAACACCCCGACUUUCUAAGUUUCCUCUUCUCAAAUCAAGCUGGCAGUUCUGUGAGUGUAAAAGCACCGAAUGGUCAUUACCAGUGUGUGAUGAAAUCAUCGAUGAAGAGUUGACAGUUCGUAAGGCAGAGUAAUGGUACUCAGAUGUUUUGUUUUCUUCUUGUGACAUGAGCAAGAUCAUAAUUACAGCAUAUUUCAAAUCAUUGCUUACAGGGAAAUGACUCACUCCAUUAUACAGUACUUCGUUGGGGCCCCAGCCAUGGAUAGAGACAAAUAUCUUCCUGUCCAUGGUUUUCUCCGAGACAGUGGGUCUCCAGCGUCAGAGGCUAUAGUGGCUCCAAUCGCAAUCAUCCACCUGAAUCCAGCAACUCCUUAGACAUCAGAGUUCCCCAAGGUGUCUUCCUUCUCUUCUUGUCUUUCCAUUUUUGUUCCUGCUGGGCAAUUACCACCCAUUCCCUGGGCUCCAACAGAUAUUGAUGACUCCCACAACUGCAUCUCCUAUUCCCAACUGCCUCCUCAACUCCAGACCUAUCUCACGAUUACAAAAAACAUUACUGACU